rnacentral:lncRNA from 1 species
ACUUGCGGUGAUUCGGCUACAGAACGCGCCGGGCGCUGGUGGCAGGUGGUACAGGCACGUGGAUCCACCGACCACAAGGACGGAUUCGAUUGGAUUCUGAUUGACCGGCGGACCAGCUCCAGAGUAAUUGUCUAUGGCUGCCCCUGCAAUGACUGAUUGAUUGACAAUGGCUGAGAGACCAGCAAGUGAGUCGCUCCGAGAAAGCGAAGGAGCCCACUCUUGUGCGGCGCUUUGGGAAGACGCCUGUUGGUUUUGACCCCGAAUAAGAAGAGGAAGCUGAGAGCGGGCUGACUGUGGUCCAGUCCUACUUCGAUUCAGUGUGAACUGACACUCUGAUCUGAAGACGCUCAGGCCUUUGUCAUUUCAGCACCCCAGAUGCUAUUUUCCAUUCGAAGAAUGCCGCCACCAGGUGGCGGUAUUUUAACAUGGCCAUGCAAUCCGGGUAUGAGGAGGAGGGUUGGUCCCCUGGGAGAGCUAAUGUAUGUUGCUGUUGCUGUUUGUCUUAUUGGAUCCUUUUUUUUUUUUAUAGAGCCAGAGGCUUGCUCUGUCACCCAGGCUAGAGUGCAGUGUCGUAAUCUAGCUCACUGCAGCCUCCAAUUCCCAAGCUCAAGCGAUCCUCCUGCCUCAGCCUCUGAGUCACUGGGAUUACAGGCGUGAGCUACCGCA